rnacentral:rRNA from 1 species
UGUCCUACGGGAGGCAGCAGUGAGGAAUCUUGCGCAAUGGGGGCAACCCUGACGCAGCAACGCCGCGUGAGUGAAGAAGGCCUUCGGGUCGUAAAGCUCUGUCAAGUGGGAAGAAUAGCCUUGAGACGAAUAAUCUUGGGGUAUGACGGUACCACUGGAGGAAGCACCGGCUAACUCCGUGCCAGCAGCCGCGGUAAUACGGAGGGUGCAAGCGUUAUUCGGAAUUAUUGGGCGUAAAGGGCGUGUAGGCGGCCAGAUAAGUCAGAGGUGAAAGCCCGGGGCUCAACCCCGGAAGUGCCUUUGAAACUGUUUGGCUUGAGUGCGGGAGAGGAAAGCGGAAUUCCCAGUGUAGAGGUGAAAUUCGUAGAUAUUGGGAGGAACACCGGUGGCGAAGGCGGCUUUCUGGACCGACACUGACGCUGAGGCGCGAAAGCGUGGGGAGCAAACAGGAUUAGAUACCCCUGUAGUC